GAUGAAGAACGCAGCGAAAUGCGACAAGUAAUGUGAAUUGCAGAAUUCAGUGAAUCAUCGAAUCUUUGAACGCACAUUGCGCCCGCCAGUAUUCUGGCGGGCAUGCCUGUUCGAGCGUCAUUUCAACCAUCAAGCCCCAGGCUUGUGUUGGGGACCUGCGGCUGCCGCAGGCCCUGAAAACCAGUGGCGGGCUCGCUGUCACACCGGGCGUAGUAGAUUUUAUCUCGCUCAGGGCGUGCUGCGGGUUCCGGCCGUUAAAAAGCCUUUUUUACCCAAGGUUGACCUCGGAUCAGGUAGGAAGACCCGCUGAACUUAAGCAUAUCAAUAAGCGGAGA
rnacentral:misc_RNA from 1 species